rnacentral:rRNA from 1 species
CCCUGUAGCCCAAGACUGGUUGCCCACUGAAGCCAAGCAGGGUUGAGAUAGGAGACCCCCUGGGAAAACUAGGUUGCUGCUGGAA